AUGGUACGUCCAGUCUAAAGACUCUGGAGAGAGAAUACUUUAGAGAGAGAGAGAGAGAGAGAGAGGGGCAUCAAAUCAAGGGAAACAAAAAGAAGCAAUGCUGCGACUUACUGUUGCUGGAGCAGCUCCAACCCGAUAUCUUUCUGAUGGGUCUUGUUCCUCGUACCCAAGGCACGUCUCGUCGGAAAUUUGUUUCCACUCCUCAACAAGAGGGAGCAGUGAUGCUUGCUUGAUGGACUUUGCACCGUUCAAGUUUCAUGCAAGGGUGAACUCACCGUUCUGCACAUUGCUGCUGGAGUACAUUAACUGAUAAGCAGUGUGUGGAGUAGGGAAUGAAGCUAUUGGUCCGUUGAGCAUUUAAAAAAUGUUACAACUUGAUGAUAUCUCUUGUGCAAGAAUUCACAGAUCUUGACAUAUAGGCUGAUUCUGUAACUGUAUCUGCUAAGCUUGAUCUAAUUCAUUGCGAAGAAAUCUUUAAUUUAAUUUUCCCAUUCAACGUUGUCUUUUGCUUUAAGUUGGAAUAGUUCUUUUCAGUGCCGGCCAAGAAAGUUUCGUUUCGAUUUCUUUUUGCGGUGAGAUGUCUUGUAAAUCAUGAAAUAGGAUUGUUAAACCCUGUUUUUUUUUU